rnacentral:rRNA from 1 species
UACGAACUGUGCGAACGUUAUUCGGAAUCACUGGGCUUACAGGGUGCGUAGGCGGCUUUUCAAGUCAGGUGUGAAAGCCCCCGGCUCAACCGGGGAAUUGCGCUCGAAACUGGAGAGCUCGAGUCAGCUAGAGGUGCACGGAACUUCCAGUGGAGCGGUGAAAUGUGUUGAUAUUGGAAGGAACACCGGAGGCGAAAGCGGUGCACUGGGGCUGGUCUGACGCUGAGGCACGAAAGCCAGGGUAGCGAACGGG